GGAAGGAUCAUUAGAGGUUUUUUACUCUUUUUCUCUUAAAAUUCUCCCCACGGCGUUUGUCUUGGAGUGGAGCUUUUAUUGCUUCAUAGGGAACGCUAAGUCUGCUAUUUUUUGUUACGUUUAAGUAGCAGGCUUUACAUUGUCCAUAAACAUAACACCAAACCAUUUUUACAAAUACACCAUUUUUUUUGUUACCUUAUUUAAAAUACAACUCUUAACGGUGGAUGACUCGGCUUCCGUAUCGAUGAAGAACGUAGCAAACUGCGAUAAGUGAUGGAAAUUGCAGAAUACUUCGACUCAUCGAAUCUUUGAACGCAACCUGCGCCCGGGGGUCCCCCCUCGGGCGUGCUUGUUUGAGCUCGGUUUCCAUUAUCACAAUCAACCAUCCAACUCCCUUGACUGGGAGAUGGGGUCUUGAGGGUUUUACACGGCGCCCUCUUCGGAGGGAGGGGUAAUCUCUUUAAAUUCAGUGUUAGGUGGCAGAGGAAAACAAACAAAAAAAACAAAGUCAUCUUUGCUUUUUUUUUUGUUUGUUUUCCCCCCGUUCCUUUUUUUUUGGAGUACUUGCUUCAAAAGGGGGAGCCUUAUCCUUCAUUUUUCUUUCCGUUGGAUAAAGAGAGGAAUGUCAGUUCUACUCGACGUCUCAACGGGCUCAUAAAGAACUUGGAGGGCUCAAUAAGGUAGGUGGGGAAACUUCCUUCUGUAACUUCCUAUGAGGAGACUUAAGAGUGGCGAGCUUGCUCGCUUGUACUUAAGAGAAACUUUUUUUCUUUCACUGACUCAAAUCAAGCACGAUCACCCGCUGAAUUUAAGCAUAUAAUUAGGCGGAGGAAAAGAAAAUAACAAUGAUUCCCUCAGUAAUGGCGAAUGAACAGGGAACAGCUCAUCCUGAACCUGUGGGGACUAGUCUCCUCACCGGAAUGUAGGGUGUCGACCGGCCUUAGUGAGUCUUUGUCUCCGACAGAAAUCCCUUGGAACAGGGUACCAUAGAGGGUGAGAGUCCCGUAUGUCAUUAAGGAGAUGGGGGUUUACGACCUUAGGUUGGAUCGUAGAGUCGAGUUGUUUGGGAGUACAACUCUAAUUGGGUGAUAAACUUCACCUAAAGCUAAAUACCAACGGAAGACCGAUAGCGAACAAGUACCGCGAGGGAAAGUUGAAAAGAACUUUGAAAAGAGAGUUAAAUAGUACCUGAAACCGUUAAGAGGUAAGCGAUCGGCACCAUCGAGUUUUGUAAGGUUCUUGGCUAUUCAGCUUUGGAACGUGUAGAGUCUAGUGACCUGAGUUGGUCUUCGGAUUCACCAGUGUCGUCUGAUUCGAAUCGGGAGAAAGUGCACUUAGUCGGGGACUUAUAGUUUCAGGGUCGUUCAAACGGGGGGAAAGCCAAUAAAAAGGUGAUUCUUUGGAGGUACAUGAUCGAUGAAUCAUGGAAACUCGGGGCUGUCUUCCUACCCUUCGAUUGAACGAGGGCCCCAAAAGGGGCAGGAGUGGGGGCCUUCUUGGCGAGGGAUUGCUGCAAUGGCUGCAACCUAAGUCCGGAACUCACUCUCGAUCUCUGAAUUUAGAUGGAAUUGAUCGUCCCGUCUUGAAACACGGACCAAGGAGUGCACUUGAUAGGCGAGUCUUAGGGUGGUUAAAACCCGAGGGCGAAAUGAAAGUGAACACACACCUGAAACCUUUUAAAUAAGGGACUGCAAGGUGGACCCAUACUGUCUUACGAGGCAGUAUUGGAGUAAGAGCCUAUCGCGUGCGACCCGAAAGGUGGCGAACUAUGCCCGUGUAGAAUGAAGCCAGAAGAAAUUCUGGUGGAAGUUCGUAGCGGUAUUGACGUGCAAAUCAUUCGUCAAACAUGGGUAUAGCGGCGAAAGACUAAUCGAGCCGCCUAGUAGCUGGUUCCCUC
rnacentral:misc_RNA from 1 species